rnacentral:rRNA from 1 species
UACGUAGGGGGCAAGCGUUGUCCGGAAUCAUUGGGCGUAAAGAGCGUGUAGGCGGCCCGGUAAGUCCGCUGUGAAAGUCCAGGGCUCAACCCUGGGAUGCCGGUGGAUACUGUCGGGCUCGAGUCCGGAAGAGGAGUGUGGAAUUCCUGGUGUAGCGGUGAAAUGCGUAGAUAUCAGGAGGAACACCAGUGGCGAAGGCGGCUCUCUGGGACGUUACUGACGCUGAGGCGCGAAAGCGUGGGGAGCAAACAGG